AUUGAACGCUGGCGGCAUGCUUUACACAUGCAAGUCGAACGGUAACAGGUCUUCGGAUGCUGACGAGUGGCGAACGGGUGAGUAAUACAUCGGAACGUGCCUGGUAGUGGGGGAUAACUACUCGAAAGAGUAGCUAAUACCGCAUGAGAUCUACGGAUGAAAGCAGGGGACCUUCGGGCCUUGUGCUACUAGAGCGGCUGAUGGCAGAUUAGGUAGUUGGUGGGGUAAAGGCUUACCAAGCCGGCGAUCUGUAGCUGGUCUGAGAGGACGACCAGCCACACUGGGACUGAGACACGGCCCAGACUCCUACGGGAGGCAGCAGUGGGGAAUUUUGGACAAUGGGCGAAAGCCUGAUCCAGCAAUGCCGCGUGCCGGAUGAAGGCCCUCGGGUUGUAAACUGCUUUUGUACGGAACGAAAAGCCUGGGGCUAAUAUCCCCGGGUCAUGACGGUACCGUAAGAAUAAGCACCGGCUAACUACGUGCCAGCCGCCGCAGUAA
rnacentral:rRNA from 1 species